GCUGAUAUGCGUUUUGGCAGCGGCACAAAACUUACAGUGAUAGGCGAGAAUGAUGAAAUCAUACCUCCAGCGGUGGCCAUCUUUUCCCCAUCAAAGCAGGAGAUCCAGCAGAAGAGCAAGGCCACGCUGGUGUGCCUGGCCUCUGGUUUCUACCCUGACCACCUGACUCUGGUCUGGAGGGUGAAUGGUGUGAAAAGGACCGAAGGGGUGGGGACAGACGAGUCCUCCACACAGAAUGGGAGCACCUACUCGCUGACCAGCCGACUGAGGAUGCCAGCCUGGGAGUGGUUCAACCCUCUGAAUCGCUUUGAGUGUGUUGCCAAUUUUUUUCAGAAUGGAACAACAGCCUCAAUAAACAAAUUUAUCCAUGGUGAUGCUGGUUGUGCACUCACAGAAG